rnacentral:rRNA from 1 species
GAUGAACGCUGGCGGCGUGCUUAACACAUGCAAGUCGAACGGAAAGGCCGAAGCUUGCUUCGGUGCUCGAGUGGCGAACGGGUGAGUAACACGUGGGUGAUCUGCCCUGUACUUCGGGAUAAGCUUGGGAAACUGGGUCUAAUACCGGAUAUGACAAUCUCUUGGAUGGGGUUGUGGAGAGCUUUUGCGGUAUGGGGUGAGCUCGCGGCCUAUCAGCUUGUUGGUGGGGUAAUGGCCUACCAAGGCGUCGACGGGUAGCCGGCCUGGGAGGGUGUACGGCCACAUUGGGACCGAGAUACGGCCCAGAAUCCUACGGGAGGCAGCAGUGGGGAAUAUUGCACAAUGGGCGCAAGCCUGAUGCAGCGACGCCGCGUGGGGGAUGACGGCCUUCGGGUUGUAAACUCCUUUCGCAACCGACGAAGCUUUUUGUGACGGUAGGUUGAGAAGAAGCACCGGCUAACUACGUG